rnacentral:rRNA from 1 species
UGUGUAGGCGGCUUUUUAAGUUUGGUGUGAAAUCUCCCGGCUUAACUGGGAGGGUGCGCCGAAUACUGAAAGGCUUCGAGUGCGGGAGAGGAGAGUGGAAUUCCUGGUGUAGCGGUGAAAUGCGUAGAUAUCAGGAGGAACACCGGCGGUGUAGACGGCUCUCUGGACCGUAACUGACGCUGAGACACGAAAGCGUGGGUAGCAAACAGGAUUAGAUACCCUGGUAGCCCACGCCCUAAACGAUGCACAUUUGGUGUGGGCAGUUCAUUCUGUCCGUGCCGGAGCUAACGCGUUAAAUGUGCCGCCUGGGGAGUACAGUCGCAAGGCUGAA